CCCGAGGUUUCGGUUGUAUCGAUAGUAGUUGUAGUGCGUGUGAGCGAGUCGCAAAGCCGUCGGUGUUUUGGUCAUUACUGCUGCUGGAUUGAAAGAAAAGAUAGAUAUUAUUGUGUAUUAAUUUUUUGCUCAGCCAAUGCUUGGCUUUUGCAAAUUGCAAAAAGUUAAAAGAGGUGUGUGGCUGUGUGUGUGUGUGUGUAUUUGCGAAAAAAUCACGUUUUGAAGCGGUCGAUUAAACUGCGAUCAAAGCGUGACACCGUUCGUGUUCAGCUGGGCUCCAUUGGCAUUGUUGUUGGUUUAGAGAUGAAAUAAAAUACAUACAGCAAAAACAAUUCAGUAUUAUUUAGCAAAAAAAUAUAAAAGCAUUCCGGGUCGAAAUUUAAACCAAAUCCGCAUCGAAUAGAAAAAACAAUCAAAUUAUUCAACAAAAUAAAAAA